GGUGGUCAGGCCAGAACCGAGACUCUGUGACUCUAUCAUUAAAUAGGUGGGGUGGUUACUACUCAGAUCUCCAAAGAUGAGCUUGAUGGACUCAAAGAGGCCCUUUGCAAAAGUUGAUCUCAACAGCAACGAAUUCAUUCGUGACUAUGAACUUCAUGAGCUUUUCAAGGAAGAGAAUAUGUCAUUUCUGGGACAUAAAGUGAGAGGAAUUACUCAGAAGCUCAUGCUGGAUGGUGACAGGAAUAAAGAUGGGAAGAUAAGUUUUGAUGAAUUUGUUUAUAUUUUUUAAGAGGUCAGAAGCAGUGAUAUUGCCAAUCCCUUCCACAAAGCAAUCAACAGGAAAUAAGGUAUUUGUGCUCUGGGAGGAACUUCGGUGUUGUCCAGUGAAGGAACACAGCAUUCUUACUCAGAGGAAGAAAAAUAUGCUUUUGUUAACUGGAUAAACAAAGAUUUGGAAAAUGAUCCUGAUUGCAGACAUGUUAUACCAAUGAACCCAAACAUCGAUGACCUGUUCAAAGCUGUUAGUGAUGGAAUUGUGCUUUGUAAAAUGAUAGACCUUUCAGUCCCUGAUACAAUUGAUGAAAGAGCAAUCAACAAGAAGAAACUUACACCAUUCCUCAUUCAAGAAAACUUGAACUUAGCACUGAACUCUGCUUCUGCUAUUGGAUGUCACGUUGUGAACACUGGUGCAGAGGAUUUGCAGGCAGAGAAACCUCAUCUUGUGUUGGGACUGCUUUGGCAAAUCAUGAAGAUCAGUUUGUUUGCUGGGAUAAAAUUAAGCAGGAAUGAAGCCUUGGCUUCAUUGCUCUGAGAUGGUGAGAAUUUGGAGGAACUUAUGAAAUUGUCUCCAGAAGAGCUUCUGCUUAGACGGGCAAACUUUCAUUUGGAAAACUCAGGCUGACAUAAAAUCAACAACUUUAGUGCUGACAUCAAGGAUUUCAAAACCUAUUUCCAUCUUCUCAAUCAAAUUGCACCAAAAGGACAAAUGGAAGGUGAACCACGGAUAGAUAUUAACAUGUCAGGUUUCAAUGAAACAGAUGAUUUCAAGAGAGCUGAGAGUAUGCUUCAACAAGCAGAUAAGUUAGGUUGCAGACAGUUUGUUACCCCUGCUGGUAUCGUCAGUGAAAACCCCAAUUUCAACUUAGCCUCUGUGGCUAACUUGUUUAAUAAAAUCCUGGCACUAACUAAAUCAGAGAAAAAGGAUAUUGAUUAGAGUCUAUUAGAAGGAGAAACUCAUGAAGAACCUUCCAUAAUUGGAUAAACUCUCUUGGUGUUAACCCUCACAUAAACCAUCUCUGUGCUGACCUGCAAGAUGCCCUGGUAAUCUUACAGCUAUACGAAUGAAUUAAAAUUCCUGUUGACUGGAGUAAAAUUAAUAAACCUCCAUACCUGAAACUUGAAGCCAGCAUGAAAAAACUAGAAAACUGCAACUAUGCUGUUGAAUUGGGGAAGCAUCCUGCUCAAUUCUCCCUUGUAGGUAUUGGAGGGCAAGACCUGAAUGAUGGGAACCAAAUGCUGACUUUCGCUUUAGUCUGGCAACUGAUGAGACGAUAUACCCUCAGUGUCUUGGAAGAUCUUGGAGAGAGUCAGAAAGCUAAUGACAACACCAUCGUGAACUGGGUGAACAGAACGUUGAGUGAAGCUGGAAUAUCCACUUCCAUUCAGAGUCUGAAGGACAAGAAGAUAGCUCCAGCUUGGCAGUUGUGGAUUUAAUUGAUGCCAUCCAGCCAGCCUGCAUAAACUACGACCUUGUUAAGAGUGGCACUCUAACAGAAAAUGACAAGCACAAAAAUGCCAAGUAUGCAGUGUCAAUGGCUAGAAGAAUCGGAGCCAGAGUGUAUGCACUCCUGGGAGACCUUGCGGAAGUCAAGCCCAAGAUGGUCAUGGUCGUGUUUUCAUGUUUGAUGGGCCGGGGAAUGGAAACAGUAUAUAGUAACCAAUCUGAAUAA